AUUUGGAGAGGAUGUUUCUGGCGCGGCGCCCUCCGAGUUCCUUGGAACAGGACGCCAUAGAGGGUGAGAGCCCCGUACCGGCGGAUGCCUAGCCUUUGUGAAACUCCUUCGACGAGUCGAGUAGUUUGGGAAUGCUGCUCAAAAUGGGAGGUAAAUUUCUUCUAAAGCUAAAUAUUGGCCAGAGACCGAUAGCGCACAAGUAGAGUGAUCGAAAGAUGAAAAGCACUUUGAAAAGAGGGUUAAAAAGUACGUGAAAUUGUUGAAAGGGAAGCGCCUAUGACCAGACUUGCGGCCUACGGACCAUCCGGUGUUCUCACCGGUGCACUCCGUGGGUUGCAGGCCAGCAUCGGUUUUCCUAGGGGGAUAAAGGCCGCAGGAACGUAGCUCUUUCGGGAGUGUUAUAGCCUGUGGUGUCAUGCCUCUGGGGAGACCGAGG
rnacentral:rRNA from 1 species